GUGCUCUGAUUUGCUUAUUGCACCACAUGUGUUUUUCUUUGAAACAAACUUGCUUUGGCGGUGGGCCCAGCCUGCCGCCAGAGGUCUAAACUUACAACCAAUUUUUUAUCAACUUGUCACACCAGAUUAUUACUAAUAGUCAAAACUUUCAACAACGGAUCUCUUGGUUCUCGCAUCGAUGAAGAACGCAGCGAAAUGCGAUACGUAAUAUGAAUUGCAGAUAUUCGUGAAUCAUCGAAUCUUUGAACGCACAUUGCGCCCUCUGGUAUUCCGGAGGGCAUGCCUGUUUGAGCGUCGUUUCUCCCUCAAACCGCUGGGUUUGGUGUUGAGCAAUACGACUUGGGUUUGCUUGAAAGACGGUAGUGGUAAGGCGGGAUCGCUUUGACAAUGGCUUAGGUCUAACCAAAAACAUUGCUUGCGGCGGUAACGUCCACCACGUAUAUCUUCAAACUUUGACCUCAAAUCAGGUAGGACUACCCGCUGAACUUAAGCAUAUCAAAAGGGCGGGAG
rnacentral:rRNA from 1 species